rnacentral:rRNA from 1 species
CCUGGCGGCACUAGCGCGGUGGUCCCACCUGACCCCAUGCCGAACUCAGAAGUGAAACGCCGUAGCGCCGAUGGUAGUGUGGGGUCUCCCCAUGUGAGAGUAGGAACUGCCAGGC